GUAAGGAAGGACCAAAAGCCACCAUUAAAUUAAUUCUCUCCCCAGCUCUCUAUGACACAGUACUUCAAUAAGAAGAAGAAGAACAGGAGGAACAAGAGAGAGUGGUUGCAUUUAUACAUAUAAGAGAAAUAGUCAUCAGUAGUCUCUCUUAUAAACUACCUAAAACAUGCUUGCCCUCCUGCUUAGCUUCAUUCUUUUUUGUCAAUCUUUCUGAAGAUGUGUUCUUCCUUCAAAGGGCCUGCUUGAUUUUCAACAAAACCCAAGCCUGACUCACCAUAUAUUUUCUUUUUUUCUUCUUGUUCGGUUACAUGUUGGUUUGAGAGAUUGAAGCUGCCAGCAUGAUCUGGUAAAAAAUUACCUGUCGCUCUAUGUGUAUAUAUAUAUAUUGAUAAACUGAUAGACUGAUUCUUAUUUUGUACAUAUUAUUUCCAGUUUUAGAUUCUUUAUUUUUAUUUUUGUUUUUGUUUUUGUUUACCCUUUUAGAUCCAUAAUGGAUUGAUUUUCAAAAGCAAUUUUUUUUUUUUGUUCUCUCUUGAAAUUGGGAAGAAAGAAAGAAUCAAUUUUAUUUUUAUGGUAAAUGUUUUGUUGUGAUAUAGUGACUGUAGACCUAGCAAAUUAAUUAGUUAUUAAGCCUCAUAGAUAACAGUUCCAUCAGGUCAUCUUGCAGCUUCAAUUACUCAUUCACCAACAAUAUUGGAAGAUAUAUAAUCUUUAAUAAGACUUAAUUUCUAAUUAAGUUCAGUACUGUGUCUCAACUAUACAAAGGCAACAGCUUCAACAUUCCAGGUUUCAUACUGUUUUCGAGGGUGUGAAAGCUGCAGGUAGAAGACACAGCAGGAACACAAUAACUUGUUUGUAGUUAAUUUCGUCAUUUGUGUCUUCACUCUUCGGCUUUCCAGCUUAACUUAUUGUAAUAACAUUAAUUCAUUGUUAGGUUUAUUUAAUUACAGAGUGAAGAUUUUUAUUAAAAGACUGAUAUAUUUAUAUAGUCAAUCUUAUAAUUCA